ensembl:lncRNA H2AZ1-DT H2AZ1 divergent transcript
AGGCGGAGGGAUGGGAACGGGGGAGAAGAAGGGCACCGCGGCGGGAGGGAAGAAACAGAGCGAGCUACGCUGCAGGAGCGCAGUUACCAGCCGGCUGCGAUCACGUGCCUGGGAGGAGGAGCUGAGACCUCAGGGGAGGGGCGCGCGGUAGCGUCCCGGGUCCCCUAGCAGGGCUCUAGAGACCACGUGAAGUCUCCUCGGUAUGUAGCACGCCGCCCCCACCACUCCCAGCCCCAUUCCCAGCGCCUCUCGGGCGGAGACCUGCGACCCGCAGCCGCUUUCCGGGGCCCCGGACACCCCUUCCCUACCCUCUCAAUCCCUGGCGGCUCCUCCCGUCUGACAGGUGGCGCGAACGCGUCCAGUGAGAGGAGUCUGAGGUUUGCCCUGACGCCUUCCACAGCCUUAGUAGAGAUUCCGUGUUUCUUCCGUCUAGGCGAGUCCCCAGCCACCAACAGAUCACGACCCGCUGCUCCCACUUUAUUUUCAGCCGGGUCUUCCACCUCUCCCUCACUACUUAUGAAAUCCUCCACGGAAUAGUUCUGUGACAGCAAACGGUGAAGCCAAGUCACCUCACUGGUCACGAAACCCUUUUUGUCUAUACUUAGGGAGCUUCUGGCGAGGCAGUAUUCUUUAAUCAAAUCAUAAACCAUAUUUUUUGGAGACUACACAUCAAUGGGUUGUACCUGUAGCCUGGUGUGUAAAGCUCAUUUAGUGAAACCUCAGAGCUAUUAUGUGUCAACUUUUCUACAGUAAGUAUUUUGCCACAUGACAAAUGUUCGGCAAAUGUCGAUGGAGUAACUCUGACAUGAUUUUCAGGCAGUUAGAGGGUCCAUGCAAUGCAAUCAGUUGCAAAUGAUGAGGUUAAAGUAAUGGUACUGUACACACAGUACUAUCCUUCCAACUAGUAGGUUAUUAACACCUAUGUACAUCUCCAGCUGCUUGGGGACAGUAGUGUCUCAAUCUCAUUUGCAGUGUUUUAGUGUAUUACAUUUUUUAACAUAAUUGAAUAGUUUCAAUGUGACGAACAUUUUGAAACAUAUACUCUAUGCUGGGCAUGGUGGCUCACACCUGUAAUCCCAGCACUUUGGGAGGCCGAAGCGGGCAGAUUACGAGGUCAGGAGUUCAAGACCAGCCUGGCCAACAUGGUGACACCCCAUCUCUACUAAAAAUACAAAAAUUAGCCAGGCAUGGUGGCGCCCGCCUGUAAUCCCAGCUACUCUGGAGGCUGAGGCAGGAGAAUUGCUUGAACCCGGGAGGCGGCGGUUGUGGUGAGUCAAGAUUGCGCCACUGCACUCAGCCUGGGGAACAGAGCGAGACUUUCUCAACAACAACAACAACAAACAUAUACUCUGAAGUACUUUAGAUUGGGUUUCAAUUUGAAAGAUUUUAUCGAAUUAGAGGACCUCCCAAUUUCUGUGAGAUAAAUUCUAGAGAAGAGCUUCCCAACAAUUUUGACAUUGAGGUUUAUUAUUUCUUGGAACCAAGGAACUCUUAUGAUGUCGUCGAUAGCAAGACUUCAGCCGUUUUCCUACUGAUAAUAUAAUAAUGAUAUAUUAAGCUAUGAAACCUGAUAGUUAACGAUGGCUCCAGGGAAGCUUUGUGAUAUAUAAAAAACCAACAUUAAUGCCAUCUCUAGUUUAGAUAAUACUCUGCCAGCUCUUUGCUAUGAAGCCCCAUAAAGGGAAUUUACUGUUGCCUCGCUGAAUAGUGGUUAGGAGGAUGAACUCAGAAGCAAGUACAGAUGGAUUCUGUUCUGCCUCCUCCUCACUGUGUCAUCUUAGUUACUAAUCUUUCUGAGCUUCGAGUUCCUAUUCUGUGAAAAGAUAGUAUCAUCUAUUUUCACAUGGUUGAAAGAUUAAGGAAAAAGGUAUGCAAUGUACAUAGUAGCAUGUGUUUGGCACGUAGUUAGCCCUCAGUAAAUAACUGCUAUUAUUUUCUACAUUGGAUGCUGGAGAGGGAUGAAAUAAAGUAUCUUUUAUUUCUAAA